UUCAGUGGCAAAAACUAUUGUAAUUUUUAAUUUAUUAACUUUUUCUUUAGAUUGUCAACAUUUCUGCACAGAAAAUACUGCUCAUAGACCCCAUGGGGAAUGAAGGUGUUUAUGACAGGAAAAUUUUGCGCAACUGGAGGAAUUUUCUGAGGAUGAGAGGGCAUGAAGACACCAUGGAGUGGCAGUUACACACUAUGCAACACAACAAGCAACAGGAUUCCAGCAGUUGCGGAGUUUUGCUGUUAAAGUUUGCAGAACAGUACCUUGCUUUUGGAGAGGUCAGUGAGGUGUUAACCACUACAGAAGCAGUUGUGCUGGAGCGAAUGCAGAUAGCUUGCACCCUACUUGAACAUCGAGGGAACGCUGAGGACUACUGCAUUGUUUGCUCUAUGUUAGAUGCUGAUGCUGACCGCAGCAUGAUUGAAAUGGUGCAGUGUGAAUCUUGCCAAAGAUGGGCACAUUUUGCAUGUGCAAAAUAUAAA
ensembl:lncRNA